rnacentral:lncRNA from 1 species
GAGACAGUCUCGCUCUGUUGCCUAGGGUGGAGUGCAGUGGUGUGAUCUCCGCUCACUGCAAACUCCGCCUUCUGGGUUCAAGCGAUUUUCCUGCCUUAGUCUCCCGAGUACUUAGGAUUACAGGCGUGUACCACCACACCCGGCUAAUUUUGUAUUUUUAGUAGAGACAGCGUUUCACCAUGCUGGCCAGGCUGAUCUUGAACUCCUGAUCUCAAGUGAUCCUCCUGCCUCAGCCUCCCUAAGUGCUAGGAUUACAGGCAUGAGCCACUGCGCCUGGCCUGAUGCUAAUGUUUUAGCACCCAAACAGAUGCUCCUCUCCCAAAGAGAAGCCGGAACAGACAUCACAGUGAUGAAUGGGGGAAAAUAUAUCAUUUGCCCACAUAACUCAAGGAACAAAUUAAGUUUUUCAUUACUGAUAUAGAUAUAGUUCAUAGCAGCCUUCAAGGAACUGUGGAACUUUGGAAAUAGAACUUCUGUGUAAAUUCUAAACCUGUUGCUCAACAGUACUGUCCUGAAGACUAAGUCCUUAAAUGCAAAUAAGUCUUUUCCUUUAAACCUGUCUUUAAGGAUUGUUUUCCACCAGGUAAAUUAAGGACUUGAGAGAUCAAAAUGUUUUGUUAGAGUCUUCUUAGAGACAAACACUAUUUUAUACACAGUAAAAUUAGGUUGAGAAGUUUGAAACGCAAAGAUUCUUCAGAUCUCGCUGGUGCUGGAAAACACCUCUUACUGUGAAUUGUGUUGUGCUGCCAUUUUCCUGCCUUUCUGCCUCCCACACAGAUGAGGACCUUUCAUCUCCUGGUUCUUUCCCUAUUUGAAGGGCUUUAGACACCAGAUCAACAAAACAUACUCAUCUUAGGCUCAAGCCCUAAUUUUACAUAGCAUACAUAAGCACCAUAAUACAAGCUGCAAAAUGAUAGAGUUAUAGGUGUUUCUUUUAAAAGAUUCCUUAAUUCCAUGUCCUCCUGGUUCUUAAGAUUGGCUUGGUAACACAAAAAUCUUCUCAUAAAAACAGAAUCUUGCUUUGGCUGGCAGUUACCGUUUUACAAGUGCCAAAUAGUUUCUAUGGGUUGUGGUGAAGGAGAAUCUGGGCACAUGAGCGCUACGAAAGUUUUUUUUAAAUUAUACAUGAUGUACUAAAAAGUGGUCACAAAAUGUGUAUUCAGCACUCAGCAGUGAACCUACCAAGACUAGACCAUACUGAGCACAGUCCGAGUGAUUUAAUAUACAAGAAGGCAGACCCUUCUAGAAAUGGUUUACAGAACUAUCUGCAAUCGUGCUUAGUCUUUUAAUUAUCUUGUGCUACUAAUACAUGGUUAGUCUUAUCCACUUUCAACUUACAGACUGUUAAAUCUUUGUACUAUGAAAUACUUAAGCAAUUAUGGAAAAACAUUUUUUUUCUGGAGACAGUCUCACUCUGUCGUCCAGGUUGGAGUGCAGUGGCACGAUCUUGGCUCACCGUAACCUCUGCCUCCCAGGUUCAAGUGAUUCUCCUGUGUCAGCCUCCCGAGUAGCGGGAACUACAGGUGUGUACCACCACACCUGGCUAAUUAUUUUGUGUUUUUAGUAGAAAUGGGGUUUCACCAUGUUGGUCAGGCUGGUCUUUAACUCCUGGCCUCAAGUGAUCCGCCUGUCUUGGCCUCAACAAAGUGCUGGGAUUAUAGACAUGAGCCACCGUGCCCAGCCAGAAAAACAUUUUUAAUAAGUAAUUUUUAAACCGGAUUAACACAACUUAUAAUGCAGUAGCUAUACUUUUGUUUAAUCAACAUAUCAGUCUCCUUCAUAAUAAGUGAUAUUUCCAAACAAGAUGUGUCUGGGAAAAAAAAAAAAAAAAAGAAGGAAAGAAGUCAUCCCAAUUCUGGAGAAGCCUCCUUUUCAGAUCAUCACAAACAUUUCACUAAAUGUCUCCCCUUGCAAGUCCUUUGGUAAAUCUGAUGUAAGAUGGAUAUACAGAUACAAAGGAGCACUCCUGUGCCUCGCUGUUAUAAAGCAAUAGCAAUUCUAAAAUAUAUUCACUCAAUAGUCUACAAAAACUUAUUAAGCAUCUAUUACAUGUGAACCCAUAAAUGGCAGAUUGCACAUUCUUAAAUGCUGGAAAGGAUCUGUGUGUUAAACUCUUCCUCAAAGACACAAGACGACAUCUUUCAGCAAUCACAUGUAAAUCUAUUAUUCUGUUCUCUUUAGUUUGUUGAGAGGCUCCACUCCCAGAGAAACUUGGUCAAUUAAAAAACAUCAAGGAAUAAACCACUUUUUCUACAAAAUAAAGUCCUUUUCAAUAGCCUUUAAAUACACCUAAAAUACCCACAUCAUUCCUUAUACCAGUUAUUUAUUUAUUUAUUUUUAUUGAGACGGAGUCUCGCUCUGUUGCCCAGGCUGGAGUGCAGUGGCACGAUCUCAGCUCACUGCAAGUUCCGCCUGCCAGGUUCACACCAUUCUCCUGCCUCAGCCUCUCCAAGUAGCUGGGACUACAGGUGCCCGCCACCACGCCCGGCUAAUUUUUUUUUUGUAUUUUUAGUAGAGACGGGGUUUCACCGUGGUCUCUAUCUCCUGACCUUGUGAUCCGCCUGCCUCGGCCUCCCGAAGUGCUGGGAUUACAAGCGUGGGUGGAUCACCUCAUGUCAGGAGUUCGAGACCAGCCUGACCAACACGGUGAAACCCUGUCUCUACUAAAAAUACAAAAUUAGCCAGGUGUGGUGGCACACGCCUGUAAUCCCAGCUACUUGGGAGGCUGAGGCAGGAGAACUGCUUGAACCCAGGAGGCCGAGGUGAGCCAACAUGGCGCCAUUGCACUCCAACCUGGGCAACAAGAGCGAAACUCCGUUUCAGAAAGAAAGAAAAGAAAAGCAUUAUACAAAUCCAGUGUGGUGAGUUUAAAACCAUUCACUGAGCUUUGUACAACUUCAAUAAUUUCCUUAUGCUUCCAUUUCCUCAUCCUCAAAGUAGGUUAACUUGUCUACUAAUUACUACCUCAGAGAUAUGGUACAGCAAUGUGCUUUCAGCUUCUAGAGGGAAAGUGUUAAAAGCAGGAAGCAGUAUUAACCCACAUAGUGUAUUUUGCAUUGCCCUGACAAAAGACCAGAAAAUCUUGAACACUCUUAGAAAACUCCUUUUUUAUCUGAAUGUUCACAAGCUGCUAGUGGUCAACGAAGCUUGAUUCGUAACCCUAUCUCACAAUAGAAAACAAUGCUAAAUUCGUUCUAUGAGUUUGAAAAUCAUGUUUAACAUAAACAAUCUGAGAAAUCAAAGGGUUUUUUUAAAAAAAGCAAACUACAAAAGAUACUAUGACCAAGAAGCUUAUUGAGCCAGUCAUGUUUAAUGACAGCUUCAGUCAUCAAUUCUCAUGUCUCUAUAUUUAAAGAACAUAGGCUUUACAUUCUUGCCAAUAACUUUUCCUGUACUUACUUUCUAAUUAAAUCAAGAGUAAAGAUGAAAUUCAAACUGCAUAAAAUUUGUUUCUCUAAUAUUAUAGCCAGAAGUAAAAAUCAUUCUCCACACAACUCAUUAAAGAAUUCAAAAGUACCACUGAUUAUCAACAGGCCAGAAAUUAUAAAGCCAAAUUAUAUGUACCUUUUUUAAAAAGAGGGCGUUCCAGGAACAAUGUUGUCUUUGUUCAGUUCUGAGAGGUUAAGUGGUUAAUAAACUCUGGAAAAUAAAAAAUAAUAAUAAUUUAGUAGGGUAGGUCUUUUCUCUGAAACUGAAG